rnacentral:lncRNA from 13 species
AUAUUAUUAGUACGAACCUAGACAAGAUCUUCCAUCAGGACCUAGAUUGAAUCCCGGAUGGCACUCACAUCGGAAACUACCAGGCGUGUUGAUGCAGCGUCCAUUUUGACAAGUGGCUUAGAUCGGGACCAAUCCUGAAGCCGGAGUCGCACACGCACUUGAAGGAGCCCUCCAUAUUGACGCAUUUGCCGUUCUCGCACAUCCCACUGGUGGAGCAUUCGUCCAUGUCCACGCAGAACGUAUUGUCCCUUGAAGGAGUGAAGCCUGAUUGACAAAUACAAUGAUAGGAUCCUGGCGUGUUCUCACAGCGGCCGUUUAGACAGAUCCUCGGAUUUUCUAUACACUCGUUUAUGUCUAAAAAAAAAAAAUUAGACGAAUUGUCGCGUUACUGUUUCUGUGUCAUUUCAGAAAUCUUAUUUUUCUUAAUCACAUUUGUUUUAGCGAAUUAGGGAUUGAUAAGUAACUGUAAUAACUACUUGCUAAUAUUUGAAUCUUGCGAAAUAUUUCAUGCAAUGUAUAAUAUCUCAAGAGGGAAUUAAACGUCUGUGAGAUACUGAUGAGA